AUUGAACGCUGGCGGCAGGCCUAACACAUGCAAGUAGAGAGAGCGGCGGACGGGUGAGUAAUGUCUGGGAAACUGCCUGAUGGAGGGGGAUAACUACUGGAACAGGUAGCUAAUACCGAAUACAAUCAGAUGUGCCCAGAUGGGAGUAACUAGUAGGUGGGGUAACGGCUCACCUAGGCGACGAUCCCUAGCUGGUCUGAGAGAAUGACCAGACACACUGGAUCUGAGACACUGUCCAGACUCCUACGGGAGGCAGCAGUGGGGAAUAUUGCACAAUGGGCGCAAGCCUGAUGCAGCCAUGCCGCGUGUGUUAAGAAUGCCUUCGGGUUGUAAAGCACUUUCAGCGGGGAGGCGUUACCCGCAGAAGAAGCACCGGCUAACUCCGUGCCAGCAGCCCCGGUAAUUC
rnacentral:rRNA from 1 species